rnacentral:lncRNA from 1 species
AUGGGGUGUCAUUUCGGUCGCACACAAAGAUCCUUUGGUGUAGAAGCACAUGCAUCCAUGUUGGUGGCACACUGCUCAAGGUUGCCUUGUGAUUGUUUUGGGGAUUUUGCCAUAUUUGUAAGUGGAAAAAUUGGGAUUUCACUUAUUACCGGUCUUGUCAGCUUGACUGUCACCUCCAAAACCAAAUAACGCUGUUAAUGAAUUACCUCCAUACCGGUUGGAGAGAAGAGAAAGGAAGAACACAGACGUCUACCUUGUUGUCAGUGUGAUUUCUACGGACCAAAUUAUGAGAGUUCUAGUAUGUGAAGGGCAGAAGAAUCUGUAAUUCAAUGGAGGUCAUGAGGAAAAGUAGUGUGAAAACACAUUUUAUAGUGGGGGGACUGCUAUGCAGUAAUUAUUUACCCCCUCAAGUUAGUGAACGUGGGAGGUUUUGUAGAGUUUCACUCAUGCUAGCUUUCCCCCUGCUUGUGGUCUCAUUACGUUUCUUCCAUCAUUUGGACCUGUGUGACAACCACCUCAGAGGUGGUUGGUGCCUUUUUUUAAAUGUUUUUUUUAAAAUGAAUGCUCUAUCUACCGCAUGGUCUUCCAGUUAUACCUCCCGGAAGCCUUAUGAAUGACAUGUAAAAGCAUAGAAGAGCGCAUCUCUCUGAAAAGAACAUUCUCAACCUACAGUAUGUGAUGUGAGCUAUAAUAAGCAACUCCUGUUUUACGUUCUUGGCCGAUUCUGUGUGCAUGCUAUGGGUCUCUGAGCUUGAGUCAUAUGGAGUGAACGAUCUGAACAAUCUCCUUUCUGAUGUUGAAUGCACCAAUAUUGAAGUAACUUUUUGAAAGCACAAAUCCAAAGAUGGACCCAUUAUUCUUUAAUGUCACCUCAAGGAUGGCUCUCAGUGCUGUGGCGGUUAGAGCCAAGAAUGGUGGUCAUGGAGAAUAGGAAAGCAUGGGAUUGGAUGGUCGGUAUCAGUACUGUAAAUGUAGUUUCUCCUGAAGUCUGAGCAUAUCAAUUCAGAUUGUUUCAGUUGUAUGUAUUUAAUUAAACUCACUAGCUGUAGAGAAUAGAUCAAGUUGUGGAAAUCCUAUUGGGGUACAGUAGUAAUGAUAAUGUGUUGGUUGUAACUGUUUGGAGUGUUUGUUGUAUUAGACUGAUUGAAAGUAGGGGUUUCUUAGUAGCAGUGUGUAGCGUUGAUAGUGUGACCGUGCUGUAAUAUAACAUGCGUUGUCUGAUAUUAGCAUAAGGGCGAGGUAGAUCGUCCUCUUUAAGCUUGCCUCUAUUUUUAUUUUUUAUGGUUGAAAAAGACGAGUGCAAUAAACCUUAUUUAUCAUUUUCUUCCUCAAGUAAAAGAACAUGACCUGCGUUUUUCAAGGCCAAAAACAAAAUAGACUUUCUGCGGCGGGCAGUAGGAUUGGAACCUUUCCUAGCUGCUUUGCGUCCAGAGAAGUGGCACUUGUUAGAAUCUAGAAUAUGGAAUUGCAUUCUUAGGACUGUGUGAUUUUGAUAUUUAAGUAUCAAAGCUGCUUGCUCAUAAGGGAGACCGUGUACAAGAUGAUUUGACUGGUAGAUCAACCAUGUGGUUUUUUGUAAUUGCAGUUGGAUGGCAUUUUAUGGAGUGAAUCUCCUUCAAUCUUUAAAUGUUUUGCUUGCGUGUGUACGUAUGCAUCGUCCUCCAUAUCAAAUGAUAUGGGGGUUUUUUUUGGACGUAAAUGAAGUGGUUUAAAGACAUGAUGAAAUACCUUCUUGUUUUCGAAAGAAACAUUAAGAGAGACUCCCCCCUAAUUCAUCUCACCCUCGCACACCCCCGUUUAGUAUCUUUCACAAUCUUACUACUUGCUCUGUGUGUGAUAAACUUGUUCAGUGAAGAUCAGAACAGCUUAAAAAAGUUGAGACAAUUUCCUGAACUCUAUGUAUAAUGUUGAGGGGGUGAAUGGCAUGUAUCCCUUAAUGUAAGUAGGCAGGCCUGUUUAAAUCAGACAUGUCGAUGACAAUGGAAAUUAAAAGGUAGCGAAUAAAGUGUACCAGUAUCGUAAGAUCAGCUCAGUGCCUAGGGUAGGACGUGUAUACCUACUGUAUACAUCUUUUUGACAUGUUGGAGGCCCUUUGACAUGUACUAUGUUGGAAGCCCGUACGAUAUUGGUUGUUCCCCUUGAAAUUCCCCUUUUUAAUCAGCUGAGGUAGGAAAUAUUCGAAAACCAUGUUAGCCAUUAUUGCAGUAAUUUGCUGUACAAGCAACUUCUACUUCACCCAUGAUGAUGUCUUUGGCCAGACAAUCUCUGGAGUAUCUCCAUAAUGGUGAUUCACCUCGAGCACAGUGAUUAGGACACGAUCAGUUGGAGGUACUCUAUGGCUUAUGUGCUCCCUGAGCAAUACAUGGGAAAAGGAUGUAUUCAUUGGGUAUAUCCUGUGAUAUUUGUUGGUCCUUCUGCUGUUUCUUUAUUUGUUCUGCAGCACCCUAACUGAAUGUAAACUGAUAAAGACCGACUAAGGGUUAGUUGCCUGUUUUACUCAGUGGCUUAUCUGUUGUAAAUACCUUGGAGUGGACCACAUACCAGGAGAGGGGGAGGAGUCUGAAUUAGGGCACAUGAUUAGUUAUAAUCAAAUGGUUUCUCAAUGCACCUUUAAAAAGAGAUUUGGUUUGUCCGCCAAACAUUCCAAUAGUUUUUGCAAGCUUUGCUGUUGGGUAACAAGUUCUAAACUUCUUUGCUGGUGAAUGGUAGUAUCUUUGACAGGACCAAUGAUGUAGCUCCAUUUCCAAAUUAAUGAAUUCAAACAUGGCCAGUCAAGGAAUAUAAACACGCCUCUCACUUACUACAAAUUCUAUAAGGUUGGUACAUUUAAUGGUAUUAUCCAUGUAAAUAAACUUGUUUGCAUUUCUUGCGGUUUUCAGUAGAAGCAUUUUUCCUACCUCCUAUAAAUUGCAGCUUUGAGUUAAUCUCCACCUGUUUUGACAAACAAACAAAUACACAGUAGCCUAUGAGAACCUUAGCAUUUUGCCAUGAACAAUUAUAAUUCAACAUGUGUG